AACGAACGCUGGCGGCAGGCCUAAUACAUGCAAGUCGAACGCUCCAGCAAUGGAGAGUGGCAGACGGGUGAGUAACGCGUGGGAACCUUCCCAGUGGUACGGAAUAGCUCAGGGAAACUUGAGGUAAUACCGUAUACGCCCUUUGGGGGAAAGAUUUAUCGCCAUUGGAUGGGCCCGCGUCGGAUUAGCUAGUUGGUGGGGUAAUGGCCUACCAAGGCGACGAUCCGUAGCUGGUCUGAGAGGAUGAUCAGCCACACUGGGACUGAGACACGGCCCAGACUCCUACGGGAGGCAGCAGUAGGGAAUAUUGGACAAUGGGCGAAAGCCUGAUCCAGCCAUGCCGCGUGAGUGACGAAGGCCUUCGGGUUGUAAAGCUCUUUUGGCGGGGACGAUAAUGACGGUACCCGCAGAAUAAGCUCCGGCUAACUUCGUGCCAGCAGCCGCAGUAACAC
rnacentral:rRNA from 1 species